GCAAGUGGUGGUGAGGAGGGGAAAC
rnacentral:miRNA from 1 species